rnacentral:rRNA from 1 species
UACGUAGGGGGCAAGCGUUGUCCGGAAUCAUUGGGCGUAAAGAGCGUGUAGGCGGUCCGGUCAGUCGGUUGUGAAAGUCAAGGGCUCAACCCUUGAACGCCGAUGGAUACUGCCGGGCUAGAGUCCGGAAGAGGCGAGUGGAAUUCCUGGUGUAGCGGUGGAAUGCGCAGAUAUCAGGAGGAACACCAAUAGCGAAGGCAGCUCGCUGGGACGGUACUGACGCUGAGGCGCGAAAGCGUGGGGAGCGAACAGG